GCAAAGGUAGCAUAAUCAUUAGUUUUUUAAUCGGAAGCUGGUAUGAAAGGUUGGAUGAAAAAAUAACUUUCUCUAUUUAAAUUAUUUUAGAAUUUUAUUUUUAAGUAAAAAAGCUUAAAUAUAAAUAGAAGACGAGAAGACCCUAUAGAGUUUUAUAAAUUUUAAUUUAAAUAGUCUUUAGAAUUAAGAAAAAUUAAAUUAAUAUUUAUUUGGUUGGGGUGAUUUAAAAAUUAAAAAAACUUUUUUUAUUUAUUAUAACAUUAAUUUAUGAUUAUAUGAUCCUUAAUUAAAGAUUAUAAGAAAAAAUUACCUUAGGGAUAACAGCGUAAUUUUUUUAAAGAGUUCAAAUCGAAAAAAAAGAUUGCGACCUCGAUGUUGGAUUAAAAUAAAAUUUUGGUGUAGGGGCUAAAGUAUUUGGGUCUGUUCGACCCUUAAAAUUUUACAUGAUCUGAGUUUAAACCGGCGU
rnacentral:rRNA from 1 species